UACGUAGGGUGCGAGCGUUAAUCGGAAUUACUGGGCGUAAAGCGUGCGCAGGCGGUUUUGUAAGCUGGAGGUGAAAUCCCCGGGCUUAACCUGGGAAUGGCCUUCAGGACUGCAAGGCUUGAGUACGGCAGAGGGAGGUGGAAUUCCACGUGUAGCAGUGAAAUGCGUAGAUAUGUGGAGGAACACCGAUGGCGAAGGCGGCCUCCUGGGCCAGUACUGACGCUAAUGCACGAAAGCGUGGGGAGCAAACAGG
rnacentral:rRNA from 1 species